GUGAUCAGCACUGAACACAGACCACCAAGCAUGGAAUUUGGGCUGAGCUGGGUUUUCCUUGUAGCUAUUUUGAAAGGUGUCCAGUGUGAGGUGCAGCUGGUGGAGUAUGGGGGAGGCUUGGUACAGCCUGGGGGGUCCCUGAGACUCUCCUGUGGAUUCACCUUCAGUGUCCACUUCAUGAGCUGGGUCCGCCAGGCUCCAGGGAAGGGGCCGGAGUGGGUAGGUUUCAUGAGAAACAAAGCUAAUGGUGGAACAGCAGAAUACGCCACGUCUGUGAAAGGCAGAUUCACUAUCUCAAGAGAUGAUUCCAAAAGCAUCGCCUAUCUGCAAAUGAGCAGCCUAAACACCGAGGACACGGCUGUGUAUUACUGUGCCAGAAACACAGUGAGGGGAACUCAGUGUGAGCCCAGAAACAAACCUCCCUGCAGGGGCGUGCAGAUCCCCCAGGGGGCAGUUGGGACCCACUGA